rnacentral:tRNA from 1 species
GGGGUAGGUGAUUCAAGAAUAAGCUUCUAACUUAAUUCUUUAACGAUGAAAUUUCGUUAAUUCCCCU